rnacentral:tRNA from 1 species
GGGGAAAUCAUAUAAUGGUAGUAUCCUGUGUUUGCAUCACAGUCGUUAGGGUUCAAUUCCCUAUUUCUCCA